UACGAAGGGGGCUAGCGUUGUUCGGAAUCACUGGGCGUAAAGCGCACGCAGGCGGAUUGAUAAGUCAGGGGUGAAAUCCCGGGGCUCAACCUCGGAAUUGCCUUUGAUACUGUCUGUCUUGAGUUCGGGAGAGGUUGGCGGAAUUCCUAGUGUAGAGGUGAAAUUCGUAGAUAUUAGGAAGAACACCAGUGGCGAAGGCGGCCAACUGGCCCGAUACUGACGCUGAGGCGCGAAAGCCAGGGGAGCGAACGGG
rnacentral:rRNA from 1 species